GACGAACGCUGGCGGCGUGCUUAACACAUGCAAGUCGAACGGAAAGGCCCUGCUUUUGUGGGGUGCUCGAGUGGCGAACGGGUGAGUAACACGUGAGUAACCUGCCCUUGACUUUGGGAUAACUUCAGGAAACUGGGGCUAAUACCGGAUAGGAGCUCCUGCUGCAUGGUGGGGGUUGGAAAGUUUCGGCGGUUGGGGAUGGACUCGCGGCUUAUCAGCUUGUUGGUGGGGUAGUGGCUUACCAAGGCUUUGACGGGUAGCCGGCCUGCGAGGGUGACCGGCCACAGUGGGACUGAGUUACGGCCCAGACUCCUACGGGAGGCAGCAGUGUGGGAAUAUUGCACAAUGGGCGGAAGCCUGAUGCAGCAACGCCGCGUGCGGGAUGACGGCCUUCGGGUUGUAAACCGCUUUCGCCUGUGACGAAGCGUGAGUGACGGUAAUGGGUAAAGAAGCACCGGCUAACUACGUG
rnacentral:rRNA from 1 species